GACUUCGUUUCCCCAUCCACCCUUUCAUUAGAGAGCUUUUCUUCUUUUUACAACUUGCUCCAGCUUAGCUAGUACCUAACUCAUGAAGGAUAGUAGUCUACCGUAUGGUAAUAUGGAUGUCUGCCAAUGAUGGGAACAUUAGUACGAUAGAAGAGUUCCUGCACUACUAUCGUCUAAGACGAUCCAAAGAUCCGGGCUACUGGGAAUUUAAACCAUGGGGAAGAAGUUCAAGGUUGGUUUUUAACUCCCCCUCGUCUCUCCAAAAUUGGAAAACAAACUUUUUCUUCGUCUCUGGUGAUGGUGGGGAGUUCACUUCGGGUGAGGAUCUAGAUGACGCUCCUAAAUUGUUCCAUAUUUGGAGUACUCUUGUGUCUGGUGUAUCUUUCUGUUUAAUCUCUUUGUUAUGUAUAUAAUUUUCCUAAGUGGAUGUGGCACUAAUAAAUGUGCAUGUGCUGUUGUUUUCACAACCUUCAUUCGCCUUCGUCUAAAAAGGAGGUGCCAUACUCGUGUUCAGAGGGUUAGAGAUUAUCUUAAGUCUGUUAAGGACUUUGACGAGCUCAUUACUGUAAUUUCUCAAACCGAAGCCCUCCAACCAUGUUCAAGAAUGUUGAGAUCGUCAAGAAAAAUUUAGUAAAGCUAAACUGGCUGAAACCUAAUAGAAGAAGGCCAAAGGAGGUCUGACAAGCGGUCUUCUAACGAGGAAACGCCAAAAGGACACGGAGACACCCAAGGACGAUCCUAUGGCGACUUCUCCUAUUGCCAAGUCUGUAUCCCAGCAUCCAAAAUCGCCUACCUCUUCCCAAGAAUUAAUUGCUUCCAUUGAUGGAGGUUUCAAAGCCAAGGGCAAGGACAAGGACAAGGCUCCUCUAGGAUCUUUUUAGGAUGAUGCGAGAGUCACAGUGCUGAAAGCUCAUAAGGUGAUAUCAGUUGACUACCUUUCUCCUCUGGGGUGUUGGGUGAACCCUUGUACAUUUCCGGGAAGUACUUGGAUUAUGAAGAGAAGUACGUGAUUGCCAAGUCCAAGGUGGAAUCCCUUUUUGCUAAGAAUGAGUCAUUUAGGAGCUAGAUCUCUCUUUACUAAGGAGCCUAAGAAGGACAAGGAACUCUUGAAAACUCUAGAGAAGAGCAUGACACUAAGAAGGCAUUUUCAAAAUUGAAGUACAAUCAGAUUGACAAGGCCUUCCUGAAGGUCGAGAAAGCUAGCUUGAAGGCAGGGGAGAAGUUCAAGGCCUCAGAUGAGUACUCGGACAAGCUCUGCGAUUAUUACGUGGAGGGUUUUGACCUUUUUCGUAAAUACUUGGCCAAGCACCACCCAGUGUUGGACUUCUCCAAGCUUGAUAUGGAAGAAGUGGAGAAAAAUAUCUUGGUAGAUUGUUCUACCGAGGCCAUAGUGGAGAACGAGGUCGUGCCAGGUGUAGUUGAGAAUGUCCUAACUGAUCCGUCCCCUUCUAGUCUUCCUUGAAAACUUUUUGUUUUUGUUUUUGAUUUUUUUUUUUCUGU